UACGUAGGGGGCAAGCGUUGUCCGGAUUUAUUGGGCGUAAAGAGCGUGUAGGCGGCCAGGUAGGUCCGCUGUGAAAACUCGAGGCUUAACCUCGAGAUGUCGGUGGAAACCAUCUGGCUAGAGUCCGGAAGAGGAGAGCGGAAUUCCUGGUGUAGCGGUGAAAUGCGCAGAUAUCAGGAAGAACACCCGUGGCGAAGGCGGCUCUCUGGGACGGUACUGACGCUGAGACGCGAAAGCGUGGGGAGCGAACAGG
rnacentral:rRNA from 1 species